CAGAGACCAGUGGCUGCGGAUGAACUUGGGCAAGCCCAGCUUUGGUAAAGCCAAUCCUCCUUUGGCGAGAACAGCAAGAAGCUGAUUGGCUGCAGGCUGUGACGCUAAAAGCUGCUUAUGGAGAACUAAGCAACCUUUGUUGAGCACCUACUAGGUGCCAGACACUACGCAUGCCUGCCUUAAAUCCUGGGGGCAGGCAGACUGAUCCCUUCUUAACAGUUGAGGAGCCUGAGGCUUGGAGGCGGCAGUGCCUGACUUCCUCACCAAGGAAAACCUGUUGUCCCAUGAGCCCGGGAUCUGCCUGUGUUGGGAUGCAUGCCUGAGGGCAUGCUGCAUACACAAGUGACCUGGGGAUGUGUUGUUUGAUUAGAUGCUCCUCUUUGUAGUUUUGCCUAAAACAAAAAGUACAUGGCUUUUUAAGCUAUUGACAACUUUAUUUUUUGCACUUAUUAUAAGAUAUCAUGUUCAUUGUAGAACAUCUAAAAAAUACAGAUAAGCAAAAAGAAAAAAAAUCAAAAUCUCCCCUAGUCCCAGCCUACAGAGAUGGCCACUGUCAAUGUUUGGGCAUAUAUUUUCAUACAUUUAAUAAUAUAUAGUGGCCGAGCGCAGAGCGGUUUGGUCGUUCGUUGGGCUGUGUCGGUUCUUCGCUCAGUCGGCUGCGGCUCUUCCUCGGGCAGCGGAAGCGGCGCGGCGGUCGGAGAAGUGGCCUAAAACUUCGGCGUUGGGUGAAAGAAAAUGGCCUGAACCAAGCAGACUGCUGUAAAUCCACCACAGCCCCCCCCGCAAACAGCUGGCCACGAAAGUCGCCAGGAAAAGCGCCACCUCUACCGGCGGGGUGAAGAAGCCUCAUCGCUACAGGCCCGGGACCCUGGCGCUUCGAGAGAUUCGUCGUUAUCAGAAGUCGACCGAGCUGCUCAUCCGGAAGCUGCUCUUCCAGAGGUUGGUGAGGGAGAUCGCGCGGGAUUUCAAAACCGACCUGAGGUUUCAGAGCGCAGCCAUCGGUGCGCUGCCGGAGGCUAGCGAAGCGUACGUGGUGGGUCUGUUCGAAGAUACCAACCUGUGUGCCCUCCACGCUAAGAGAGUCACCAUCAUGCCCAAAGACAUCCAGUUGGCUCGCCGGAUACGGGGAGAGAGAGCUUAAGUGAAGGCAGUUUUUAUGGCGUUUUGUAGUAAAUUCUGUAAAACACUUUGGUUUAAUUUGUGACUUUUUUUGUAAGAAAUUGUUUUGUAAGAAAGUGUUUAUAUAAUAUGUUGCAUUUGUACUUAAGUCAUUCCAUCUUUCACUCAGGAUGAAUGCGAAAGUGACUGUUCACAGACCUCAGUGAUGUGAGCACUGUUGCUCAGGAGCGACAAGUUGCUAAUAUGCAGAAGGGAUGGGUGAUAUUUCUUGCUUCUCAUGAUGCAUGUUUCUGUAUGUUAAGGAUUUGUUGGGUAGCUAUUAAGGUACUAGAGUUGAUAAAUGUGUACUGAGUCCUUUUGCAAUAAAACUGGUUAUGACUUGAUCCAAGUGUUUAACAAUUGGGGCUAAGUCUGACCAUACAUCACUGUGAUAGAAUGUGGGCUUUUUCAAGGGUGAAGAUACAAGUCUUAACCACAGUGUAACUUACAGUUUCCUUUAAAAAAAAAAAAAGUAAACCUGGCAGCUAUAGAAUACACUAUGUGCAUUUAUAAUAGCUAUUUUAUAUAUUGUAGUGUCAACAUUUUUAAAUUAAAUGUUUUACAUUCACAA